rnacentral:rRNA from 1 species
UACGGGGGGGGCAAGCGUUGUUCGGAAUUACUGGGCGUAAGGCGUGCGCAGGCGGUUGUGCAAGACAGAUGUGAAAUCCCCGGGCUCAACCCGGGAACUGCGUCCGAUACUGGGAGGCUUGAAUCCGGGAGAGGGAUGUGGAAUUCCAGGUGUAGCGGUGAAAUGCGUAGAUAUCUGGAGGAACACCGGUGGCGAAGGCGGCAUCCUGGACCGGUAUUGACGCUGAGGCGCGAAAGCUAGGGGAGCAAACGGG